ACAUAAUGUCGGCACUCAAGGGCAAGAGGCCACUCAACUUCGAGGAGUCUCACUUGACUUUUUAUCAAGACUUAACCAGAGCCACUCUCCAAUGGCAAAGGACCCACAGCGACUUCACCAGCCAGUUACGCUCUGCGGGCAUACCAUAUCGGUGGGGUAACCCACACCACCUCCUGGUUACACAUCAAGGAAACACGUACAAAAUCGCUACAGGUCCCGACGCUGCUGCGCUACUACCAAAACUGGGUCUGCCAACCAAGAACACCCAGAACACCACCCCGGCCUGGGACCCGGAGACGAUCGAGCCGUUCAUCCCGAGGACACGGAGAAUGGACACUCACGCCAUAUGACGGGAGUGGGGGGAGAAGUCUCCUACCUCGCCCCUGCUCAAGGGCUAAAAAUUGCAAAUUUUCUUUUCUUUAAAGUUUUUUCUCCUAUUCCUUUUC